UUAUUCUAAGGAAGGAAUGAUGUUUCAAUUGAGUCUCAAGAAAAGGAUCCUGAGCCUUAGAGCUUUGAAAGAGCCACUUGGUCCCUGACCUUCCUUGAGACAAA
ensembl:snoRNA SNORD124 small nucleolar RNA SNORD124